ACUCCAGGCAUCAUGGAGCUGCCCCCCAACGUGAGUGUCUUCGUCCCGCCCCGCGACUCCUUCUCCGGCAACAACCCCCGCAAAUCCCAGAUCAUCUGCCAGGCGUCGGGCUUCAGCCCCAAGAACAUCGCCAUGUCCUGGCUGAAGGACGGCCACCCCGUGUCACCCAAGCUCGUCUCAACCAGCGAGGUGGAGGCUGAGCCGCAGGGCACGGGGCCCGCCACCUUCAGGGUCAUCAGUCGGCUGACCGUCACCGAGAUGGAGUGGCUUGAGCAGAAGGUGUUCACCUGCCAGGCGGUGCACAAGGGCCUGACCUACCAGAAGAACACGUCGUCCUUGUGCAGCUUCCCUGACUCCUCCGCCGGCAUCCAGGUCUUCGCCCUGCCCCCGAGCUUCGUCAGCAUCUUCCUCAACCGCUCGGCCCAGUUGACCUGCCUGGUCACGGGCCUGGCCUCCUACAUCGGCCUGGACAUCCAGUGGAUCAGCGAGAAGAAAGGCAAGCUGGAAACGCAGCAGUUGAUCUCUGAGAGCCACCCCAACAACACCUUCAGCGCCACGGGCCGGGCCAGCGUGUGCCAGGAGGACUGGGUGUCGGGCGAGAAGUUCACAUGCACCGUGAAGCACCCAGACCUGCCCUCGACGCUGAAGCAGACCAUCUCCCGGCCCCAGAAUGUCUUCACGAACCGGCCCUCCGUGUACGUGCUGCCGCCCGCCCAGGAGGAGGUCAAGCUGCGGGAGACGGUGUCAGUCACCUGCCUGGUGAAGAACUUCGCACCCCCCGACGUCUUCGUGCAGUGGCAGCACCAGGGCCAGCCGGUGGACCCCGAAGACUACGUGACCAGCAGCCCCCAGCCUGAGCCCCAGCGCGCGGACCUCUACUUCGUCCACAGCGUCCUGACCGUGAGCGAGAAGGACUGGAGCAGCGGGGAGUCCUACACCUGCGUGGUGGGCCACGAGGCCCUGCCCCUCUCGGUGACCGAGAAGACCGUGGACAAGGCCACCGGUAAACCCACCCUGUACAAUGUGUCCCUGGUCCUGUCCGACACUGCCAGCACCUGCUACUGA